AGGUUGAUACGCAUGUGGCAAUAAAUCCAUCAUUAUUGAUUUAAUUGUUUGAUUUUCUAAGCACUUUUAUAUUUUAAGUAUGUUGCUGUACAAUAAUUUCAUUUGCUCCCUCUAAUGGGUUGAUACGCAUGUGGUAAUGAAUCCAUCAUUAUGGAUUUAAUUUUUUGAUUUUCUAAGCACCUUUUUUUUAACAUUAUUUGUUUUUUUAAUAUGGAAUUCACUUUUUUUUUUAAUAUUGUUUGAUUUUGUUAAUAUGGGAUCCACUUUGUUUACCCCCCAUGAGUUUGAAUGUGGUGGGUUCUAUUUUUUUUCCCAUGAGUUUGCAUGUGCCGGGUUCUACUUUUUUUUUUUAAUAUGAGUUUUUUUUUUGUAUGUUGUUGUACAAUAAUUUCAUUUACUCCUGCUAAUAGGUUGAUACGCAUAUGACAAUAAAUUCAUCAUUAUUGAUUUAAUUGUUUGAUUUUCUAAGCAUUUUUUUUUAACAUUGUUUGUUUUUUUAAUAUGGAAUUCACUUUUUUUUUUUUAAUAUUGCUUGAUUUUGUUAAUAUGAGAUCCACUUUUUUUCCCCCAUGAGUUUGAAUGUGGUGGGUUCUCCUUAAUGGUUGGUGUUUAAUAUGGGGCCCAUAAUUUUUUUUAAUAUGAGUUAUUGAUUAUUGAUUUAAUUGUUUGUUUUUCUAAGCACUUUUUUUUUAACAUUGUUUGUUUUUUUAAUAUGGGAUUCACUUUUUUUUAAUAUUGCUUGAUUUUGUUAAUAUGAGGUCCACUUUUUUUUCCCCAUGAGUUUGAAUGUGGUGGGUUCUACUUUUUUUUUUUUUUUUUUUUUAUUACUGGUUGGUGUUUAAUAUGGGGUCCAUAAUUUUUUUUUAAUAUAAGUUAUUGUUUAAUAUAUAUGGUCACAAUUUUUUUUUUAAUAUGAGUUGUUGUUUUUUUUUUAAUAAUAAAUAAUAUAUGAGCCCACCAUUUUUUUAAUAAUAAAUAAUAUAUGGGCCCACUAUUUAUUUAAUAUAUAUGAGUCCGGUUGGGCCCACAAAUGUAAAUAAAAAUACUACGGCUACUAUAUAUAAACCCGAAAAUAAAUAACCAUUCACAGCAAUCUCAGCAUAUUUCCCAUGAUCGAAGUUUACUAAUGAACUCUAUCAGUUACCAUAUCAGUUACCACCAACUAGACAACAAAUUCUCAGUUUUUGGACGCAAAUUGAUUUCCUUCAUUGCCUUUCUUGGUAGAGACCAUCACCCUAUUCAGUUCCUCAAUGAAUGCACCAAACCCACUAAUAAUAUUCACUCAAAACCCGAUAUUUUCCAUGCCCAUCUCAUAAAGAUUCAGAAUCUUGAUUCCAAUACACAUGUUGCAAAUUCUGUGCUUUAUUCUUAUUGUCAACAUUCAAGAAUGGACAAUGCAGCCAAGGUGCUUGAUGAAAUGCUUAACCCAAAUUCAGUUUCCUGGAAUCUGAUGAUUUCUAGUUCUAAUAAGGCGUUACGAUACCAGGAUGCUUGGAGGGUAUUUUGUAGGAUGCAUAUGUUGGGGUUCGAGAUGAAUAUGUAUACAUAUGGUAGUGUUCUUUCUGCCUGUGGUGCUUUAACAUCUACAUUGUGUGGUGAGCAGGUUUAUGGACUUGUGAUGAAAAACGGGUUUUUUUCGGAUGGUUAUGUGAGAUGUGGGAUGAUAGAAUUGUAUUCAAGAAGUUGUAGGUUUAGUGAUGGUUUGAGGGUGUUUUAUGAUUAUUUGUGUGAUAAUGUGGUUUGUUGGAAUGCUAUUAUAUCAGGGGCGGUAAAGAAUAGGGAGUAUUGGGUUGCGUUGGAUAUUUUUAGUCGAAUGUGGGGUGGGUUUUGGAAGCCUAAUGAAUUUACAAUUCCAAGUGUAUUGAAUGCUUGUGUUUCACUGUUGGAACUUCGAUUUGGGAAAAUGGUUCAUGGAGCGGCUAUAAAAUGUGGUCUGGAAACUGAUGUUUUCGUGGGGACUUCUAUUGUUGAUUUGUAUGCAAAAUGUGGGGUUAUGGAUGAAGCAUUUAGGGAACUCAGGCAGAUGCCAGUUAGCAAUGUUGUUUCUUGGACUGCCAUGCUAAAUGGUUUCGUGCAGAAUGGCGAUCCUCUUUUUGCCGUUCGAAUAUUUGGUGAAAUGAGGAAUAAAGGGGUAGAGAUAAACAAUUACACUGUCACUAGUGUGCUUACUGCCUGUGCUAAUCCUACUAUGGCAAAAGAAGCAAUCCAAAUCCAUUCUUGGAUUUUUAAGACUGGAUUUUAUCAGGAUCCAGUUGUGCAAACGUCUUUUAUCAAUAUGUACUCGAAGAUAGGGGAAGUUGCCUUAUCUGAACUAGUCUUUGCAGAGGCUGAAAAUCUGCAGCACCUAAGUUUGUGGUCUAACAUGAUUUCUGUUCUUGCCCAGAAUAGUGAUUCUGACAAGGCAAUUCAUCUAUUUCAGAGAAUAUUCCAAGAGGACUUGAAACCUGAUAAGUUCUGUUGUUCUAGUGUCUUGGGAGUUGUAGACUGUCUAGAUGUGGGUAGACAGAUACAUAGCUACACUCUUAAAACGGGGUUAAUCUCUAAUGUUAACGUGAGCAGCUCUCUGUUCACGAUGUACUCAAAAUGUGGUAGUAUAGAGGAAUCAUAUGUUAUAUUUGAGCUGAUUGAGGAUAAGGAUAAUGUCUCAUGGGCAUCAAUGAUUGCUGGUCUUGUAGAACACAGUUUUCCAGAUAGAGCUGUUGAAUUGUUCAGAGAGAUGCCCGUGGAGGAAAUCACUCCUGACGAAAUGACUUUAACUGCUAUCCUUAACGCAUUUAGUUCUCUUCAGGCCUUGAAGUCUGGCAAAGAAAUUCAUGGUUUCAUUCUUCGACACGGUGUUGGUGAGCUCCGCAUUGCCAAUGGUGCCAUUGUGAAUAUGUAUACAAAGUGCGGUGAUCUAGUUUCGGCAAGAAGUUUCUUUGAUAGGAUACCCUUUAAAGAUAAGUUUUCAUGUUCUUCCAUGGUAACUGGGUAUGCUCAAAGGGGUUAUGUGGAAGACACGCUUCAGCUGUUCAAGCAAAUGCUGAUGGAUGAUUUAGAUAGUAGUUCCUUUACAAUUUCUUCAGUUCUUGGGGUUCUUGCUCUUUCUAACAGAUCUCGCAUUGGCAUCCAAGUGCAUGCACAUUGUAUAAAAAUGGGAUCACAAUCGGAAGCACCGACAGGAAGUUCACUGGUGAUGAUGUAUUCAAAAUGUGGAAGUAUUGAUGAUUGCUGCAAAGCUUUUGAAGUGAUCUUGGCACCCGAUUUGGUUAGCUGGACUGCUAUGAUUGUAAGCUAUGCUCAAAAUGGAAAAAGGGGUGAUGCUUUGCAAGUUUAUGAGUUAAUGAGGAAUUCAGGAAUCAAGCCUGAUUCAGUGACUUUUGUUGGAGUUCUUUCUGCUUGUAGCCAUGCUGGUUUGGUUGAAGAAGGGUAUUUCUUUCUAACUUCAAUGAUGAAAGACUACGGAAUUGAGCCUGGUUACCGUCAUUAUGCCUGCAUGGUAGAUCUUCUCGGUCGCUCUGGUAGAUUAACUGAGGCUGAGAGGUUCAUUAAUGAGAUGCCUAUAAAACCUGAUGCUUUGGUCUGGGCAACACUACUUGCUGCUUGUAAAUUGCAUGAUGACGUUGAGUUUGGGAAGGUGGCAGCAAAAAAGAUCAUGGAGUUGGAGCCGAGUGAAGUUGGUGCAUAUAUCUCAUUGUCAAAUAUCUGGGCUAGUGCGGGCCAAUGGGAUGAAGUUUUGAAAAUUAGAGGUUCAAUGCGAGGAACUAGGAUAGCAAAGGAGCCUGGCUGGAGUUCUUUGUGUAAUACAUUGUCAGUACAAUAAAAUCUUUGCACCUUGCUCUUUACUGCCACCAACACAAAUAAAGUGGAUGAAGACUUGUACGAUGCAUACCUUUAGCGAUAUAGCAUCGUAUGUACCAAUCUUUUGACCUCUUUUACAUGGCGACCCUACGUCGAGUUGGAUAAUUUACCUAAAUUUUGGUCAUAAGGUGUUGAACCUUUGUUUGCCUGUCAUGGAAAGGUUUCCUUCCAUCAUAUGCUGUACUUUAGGAGUUGAGGAAGACAAAAAUGAUAGACGCUUAAAAUAUGUGGAGUAUUGUUACCUCCCAUCAAACCUCCACUUUUUCUUACAUUUUCAUGUUUCAAAUCAUGCAAACUCCAGUUCAACCCAAAAUGCCUAUCUUACGGUGCAAGACAGGAAGGUUGCUGCAAAGAGUAGUUUGAGAUUCAUUUUAUCAUGGAUACUUCAUUUUCCAUUCUGAACAAAUACUGGAGUUCCUCUUUUUUUUCUUCUUUUUUUUUUUCUUUUUAUUUAUUUAACGGGGUUGGGUUUGAGGAGCUAUGCCAGUCCAAUCUUCAAUUUCCUUAUUUCUUCUGGAAUCUACCUUCUUAUUUCCCAACCUUGCCAUUUUUCAUACUAUCUAAUUGGAGGUCAGCCAUGCAGCGGACUGUAAUAUACCUGUGCGUCUUGCUUCUUUUUCUUGUAUCACAGAUUAAACAAACCCCUGAAAGUAUGCUUCUUAUUUGUUUCCCUCGAGUAUCCUUUUUUUUUUUUUUCAGUGGAGGAAUCAAUGUCCAAUUAACUAAUUAUUAGGUAGGACUCCAAUGAAAGUACAAAUUCAGAUGUUUAACUUACCCGUGUUUGAAUACCAGGAAGAUUAAUCCAAGUCCUUGAAAAUAUUAUGUUCUUGAAUCACUGAGGUAUAGCCCCUAGUAGUACCGGAAGAAAAAAGAUUGAUGGAAUACACUGAUCAUUUGUAUUGGGAGUGCAUCCCUAGAGUUGGAUUUAAUGUUUUCCGAGGUUGAUUUAUUCAAAUUUCUCAUUUAGAUUGAAGAUACCAUGUGAGCUCAAAAGCUUGCUGAUCGGUGGCUAGAAGAGAUGAUCUUGCGAAAAAGAGAGAUUUGGUGGUGAAAAACGGGCUUUGAAGUCUGAUUAGAGGUCUGAGGCAUAUGCGGACAUGGUUUUGAGCACAUGAACUGAUAUGGAGCUAAAAAGGAUCACUGAUCACAUACGGCUUAGAAGUCUGAGUAAAAGUCGAAGAAAAAUGAUGGGGAUCAAGUACGAGGAUCAACUACCAAGCAUGCACAACGUCGGCCAAGAAAGCAAAAAAUGUUGAAAAAUUGGCCUGGUGCAGAGUGCACUCGGCGAGUCCAGCGGUGCAGCAAGCCACUUUGGGUCUGUCUGACAGAAUUCAAGUCUCUGGAGAUUUGGCUUAGCAUGGCGUGCCAGGCAGCGCACUAAGCCAUUUUUGGCCCUGUCCGGGUCCGUUUUGGUUUAGGAGAUGUGUUUGAGUCCGGGAGUGUUUUCCCACAUUAAAAUAUUAAAUACAUGUUGUACACAAUUUUCAAAUCAUAUUCUGGAGGUAUUGAGGAGACAAGUCGUCUUAGAGAGGAGAUCCAUUGAUGGCUAGAACGACGGCUAAAGUGUCAUCGAUCCUAAGCGUUCUUUUAUCUCCUCUUUUAUUAUGUUAGUUCUUAGGGUUGUGGUGCUAUAUGAUUGUUGUAGUUUGAUACUCCCUC